rnacentral:lncRNA from 1 species
AUAUUUUCUCUAUUAAACAGCAACUAUAAAAGUGGUCAGCUACAAAUGAAUACCUGUGGCGUUAACCUCAAAGUGCUUUGCCAAGGCCAGUGAGCUUGUUUUACCUGAGUUGUGAUGAUUCCAGAAAUUAGAGAGGUUUCCUUGCUGUCCCAAGGGCUGUGCAGACUUGCUGUCUGUUACGUGGCAGCAGAGCCAGGCGCAGGUCUCAGACCCACUCAGCUCACAUUCCUGCUGCAGUCCGCAGAGAGGCAGCCUUCAUGCCCAGCUCCUGUGCGGGGGGCACAUCCCAUGAGUGGGUUUUGGCAGGGGAGGCUGCGGUGCUUUCCAGCUGCAACAUCCUAUGCAGCAGUGUGGACGUACCUUGCUGAUACUGCACCAGCUGCCCUGCCUAUAGCAAAAAGUGAAAGUGAAAAUGGAGUUGCCUUUAAAAGGAGGAAAAAGCCGUCAGUCUGCCUUAUCUCAGGGACCCACGCUCCUGGAAUCAGAGCUCGAUGUCCUGGGCGAGGGAGAAGCUGCUCAGGAGCCACAGCUUCCAGCUCCGGGGCUUGCUGCAGAGGAAGAGGCACUUGAAGGCUUCCUUGGACACAAAUCACUUUUGAGGGAGAUGAGUUUGGGAAGAGCCUGGUGAGCCUGCCCCAGGAUCGUGGAGCAUCCAACAGCACCGGAGCCGUGCUCCCAGGUGGACAGAUGGGCUCUGCCUGCUUCCCGUGGCUGAGCUUGCUGCUUCUCAGUGGCCUCGCUCUGCGGCCAGGUAUUGCUGCGCCAACAGGUGACCCUGCUGAAGAGACAAAAGGCUUUUCCUCUAACAAUACACGUGUGACAGUUUAUCGUUGUAAAGAUUGUGACAGCAAAAUUUGCCAAUUAUCCAAUUAUGAGAUCUUUGAUAAAAUUGGAGAAACUAAAAAUGGGACAUUAUCAAAUGACAUAAUUCAGUUGGUGACCACUGAAACUCACAUCAUUAUGUGCUUUCAGCAAGAAAUUAAGUAUCUUAAUGAAGUUUAUGCCAUCUUCUGGCAGGAAGACUGGGGAAUAGGAGAAUCCUGUGGCAACCUGGAGCUUGGAGAAAAUGAGGUGCAUCACAUCACAGAGGAGGAGAAAAUCUGCUGUGCAGUAGAGGCAGAAGAAAUCCAACCACAAGUGGCUAACCUGAACUGCUACGUUGAAAAUAAGAAAAGCUCAAUAUACCAGACCCCCGAUAAUAUAACUCCAGAUAAUCCAACAGAUCCAGACAGCAGCAAGACAAUUGGCAUCACUGCCACUUUCCUGAUUCUUGGGGUUUGUGCAGCAGCACUGGCACUGUACUGUGUUCAAAGAACCCGAAGUGGUCAAGGACGUGUCGUAGUGCUCUAUCAGAUUUUUAAAGUGAAUGGAGAGAGACAGCUGUCUUCAGAAGGUGCUAUAAAACCCAAUCAGGCUUGUGAAAGUGGAAGGUCACAGCCAUUUGAAGCAUCAUCUACAAAUGAGACAAACCAGGCCCUUAUGCCAGCAGCAUCCUCAAACAAAGUCUAG